GCUACUGGCCCAUAAUCAGGCAACUGCAGAGUCUUAGGGGGUUAUCUAAUGUAGUCUUGGGGUGGCUGGAUAGACUUCCCAAAGAAGGUGAUGCCGAAGCUGAGGUCGGAAAUUACGAAGAUCAGCUAUCAAACUUGGAAAUCAUGUCUUAGAGAUCAAGGAGCCAAGAGAUGAGACAAGCCUGGGUUCCUAGGUGAUAGGGUGUGGCUGUGUCCCCACCCAAAUCUCGUCUUGAAUUGUAGCUCCCAUAAUCCCCACAUGUUGUGGAGGGACCCUGUGGAAGUGCAGCCCUGGCCAGAGAGGGCAGAAGCCAUUUAUUGUGGAUGCAAAGCUGUGACUAUGGCUGCCUGAACAGUGUGAUAUAUGUUCUCUAUCUCUGCUUUUAUAAGGCAGCUGUUUCUCGGAGGAUCAAGCUCAGCAUCUACUUGUUUCCAAAGUUAUUUGGGUCAGCAUUUUCCUCCACCCACCACUUAAAACUGAUUUGUUUCAUACAUUUGAAAUGUAUGAAAAGCCAGAAAUCCAGGACCCACCCUGGCCUGCUCCCUUUUUCUCACCUACUGUGUUAAGGAUAAGUCAAUUGAGCUUCACUUCUCUAAUUGAAAUCACCGUGCUGAUGGAGUCUGUCUGUGGAAAUGAAAGGUGGCUACCAUAAUCUGUUGGGAGUUGAAUUAAUCCUCUGGGAGUGAGGCUGACCUAAUUACUCAGAAAUACUGGGCUUGCUUUCAUUCUGUGGAAUACAGCCAUGAGAAAGAGGCCAGCAUGCCAUUUCCUAAUCUUUUCUUGAAUUGCCUGAAACUCACCUAACAUGAAACUGAGAAGCCUUUUCAUUUGAAAGUGGUAUUUCUUAUGUUUUUUAUCUUUUUGCUUGAAAGUAUUCUUAAACUAAAGAAAGGAGAAACAGAAAAGGUGAAGAAGCCAAGAGGCUGGAGUUUCCUUUUGAAUGGAUAUUCAUCCAUGAAGCUGUUGAUUCUGUUUUUCUGUUCCUCCAGAUGUCUACACUUUUACCUCUGCUUGCCUGAUACAACCACCACCAGUCACCUCACAGAAUAACUCACUCCUUAAGAAUCUGAUCAGGAAUCAGCCUUCCCUGAUCACAAACACUGAGUUUAGAAGUCCCUCCACAGUGUCCCCCGUAACCCUGUGCUACCUCACUGCCUCAUAGUUUAGUGCCGUUUGUGUACAUGCCUAUCUUCGUCCAUGGAUCCAGAACAACUUGUAAAAAUGACUGUACUUAUCACCUUCAGUAUUCAAUGACUAAACUAUAAUUUUAACAUAUCUGGCAGAAUGAAUCACUUGGGGAUUUCUGCCAACACUACCAAUAUAUUACUCCUAAUUUGUAAUUAUUACUUAGCAUGGAUUAUAGUACCGGCUGUUGGAGAGCCAAUGUGGCAGACCCUAAGUGGAAUAAAAUGUCAGUAGCAGUCUAGGAGCAUAUAUUUAUUGGAAUAGAUCAUUCAUUCAUUUGUUCAUUAACUAAUUUGUUCAUUAAAUAAACAUUUAUUAAGCA
ensembl:lncRNA CCDC26 CCDC26 long non-coding RNA